rnacentral:rRNA from 1 species
GACGAACCGUGCGAACGUUGUUCGGAAUCACUGGGCUUAAAGGGCGCGUAGGCGGGCUAGCCAGUCAAGGGUGAAAGCCCCCGGCUCAACCGGGGAAUUGCCUCUGAUACUGCUAGCCUCGAGAGAGGUAGGGGCAUGUGGAACUUCCGGUGGAGCGGUGAAAUGCGUUGAUAUCGGAAGGAACGCCGGUGGCGAAAGCGACGUGCUGGACCUUUGCUGACGCUGAGGCGCGAAAGCCAGGGGAGCGAACGGG